UCUUCAUCUCUCUCAUAAUUCACAUCCAUCUCUUCUUCCCUCAAGCCUAAAGCUCCAUUUCUCUUCAUUCAUUUCUCAGAUCUUCUCUUUAUAGUGUAUCAAUUCGUUCCGAUCUUCACAGAUCUGUAUAGAUCGGUAGAUUAUCUACGUUUUGAUUAUGAUUAUGUCUAUACUUUUCAAUCCAUCGGUUCUAUUUGAUUCGCGGCGAGAUACGAUGACGAUCAUCACCGGCUACAUCGGAUCGUGGAAUCGGAGGCAUAGAUACAUCAUCUAGAGAGGUAAACUUCGUUUUGUUUCGAUUAUUGACUUGUUUUUCUUCUUAUCUGAACAUUUCGACAGAUUGAGAUGUUUAGGAUGCAUCGGAAUGAUGUAUUCUCUUCAUUAUUUUUGAUAAGUGGCUGAUCGGAUCGUGGAAACAGUUCAGAUCUGAAGGAUUGUGUUCGAGAUUGUUGAUGUUGAAGCUAUCGAUCUAAGGAAGGCUAUGGAUCUGCUUUGUUGAUGAUAGGUUUGCUGUGUAAAGAUCGACUUGUGUAAUUUCGGAAUGAGUGGAAAGUGAGUGGAGAUGAUAAGUAAUUUGAUGGAAGUUGUUGUGUCGACCUUUGCCAUGUCGGGUGCGCUUGCUUGGCAGGUCAAAAAAAAUAAUAAAAAGAUCUGUUUUUGGUGUUGGAGGGGAGAUGGUACGGGUAAUUUGCCCGGCUCUCCUCGCUCUCUGGUGUCUCUUCUCCCUUCUUCUUCUUCUUCUCUAUAUUUCUUUACAGAUUCAUCUUCAUUUCACUAACACGGACGCACUCAAUCAUCAUAUUGGAAGUGUUAGCUUCAUUGGGGCAGCUUAAUAAGGUACAAUUAACGAAUUUUAUCAUAUUCAAUAGUUGAUCUGAACAUCUUUCAAGCAUCUCAUCGUAAAUUAACACUAGUUUAGUUCAUUAAUCAAUCGAAAUCUAAGCUAAUUGAACCUUGCAUCGUUUGGGUUUUAUAAUUCAGACUUCAUGUUUACAAUUUUAUUAUGCACAUAUGAAAUUGAAAGUCUUGAAAGACCAACAAAAGCAAUUGUAAAUUCAUCUUUCUUGCAAUCAAACUAGUUAAUUUUGAGUAUAUGUUUACUGGGUAGUAAUGAAUACAUUGUUUGAGUGAUUAUAACUCAUCUUCAUCAAUUUUGAGUUUGGAAUUAAAGAUUGCCUUAAUAAUUUGCAUUUAUCAAUUUCAAGAUGUCUAUGAAAGUUCUUCCAUUAAACAUGAUUAACCAAUAAAGAAAGCAAAUUAAACUGAUACUGAAUUCGAUUAAAAUGGUAUAAGUUAAUUGCGUGUUUCUACUGUUGAGCCUAUUUAUUUUUGUGUAAUUGUUUCUUCCAUUGUUCCAUAGUAUGAUCCAUUGUAAUGAGAUAAAUUUGCCGAGAGGGAUUGGAUUGUUGGAACAAAUGUACAAUUUGGUGUUAGAUUUAUCUAGAGAUAAGACCCACCAAAAAGUUUUAUGAGGGGAAUUGUACAAGUCAUGUUAUUCUUGUUUCGACACAAACAACAUAAGAUAGUCUUCAAGAGACACAAGUGGGGAUUCACUGCUGGCGAUUAGGAGCUGAUGGAGUGGCAUGGAAGAAGGCAUUGUGAAAGAAGACUUUUAAUGGGAAUCUACUGAUGUUUCUCUCAAAUGGAAAACAUGUGUUCUCUCUGGUUUAAGCCCCCAAAAAAGAAGGCCAAAGAACUAGAAUCUACAAAAUCCAUGUUAAAUAAACAUUGUCAGCUAGCUGGUAAUUGUACUGGAGAUCAAAGAUUUGAUCCUCAUAUUAAGCCUGCUCGAGUUGAGUCCUAUUCAGAAGCUUGUAAUGGAGUGAAUUCCUUAAUAGGGUUCAUAAGUCAUUUUGCAAGUCUUGUACCAUCAUCAUCAUCCAUUGGGUUUUUCCCCCAUUCAGUAUACUAUUUGGUAUUUCAUUUUAA